UACGAAGGGUGCAAGCGUUAAUCGGAAUUACUGGGCGUAAAGGGUGCGUAGGCGGUUCGUUAAGUCUGGCGUGAAAUCCCCGGGCUCAACCUGGGAAUGGCGAUGGAUACUGGCGAGCUAGAGUGUGUCAGAGGAUGGUGGAAUUCCCGGUGUAGCGGUGAAAUGCGUAGAGAUCGGGAGGAACAUCAGUGGCGAAGGCGGCCAUCUGGGACAAAACUGACGCUGAAGCACGAAAGCGUGGGGAGCAAACAGG
rnacentral:rRNA from 1 species